UUCGUAUGAAAUAUAGUAGACUUAGAGCCCGUUCUAAUGCCGCUGGAAUCGCUCGAAACGGUUGAGAAUUGAAUUUAUGGUGAUAUUUAGAAUACUGGUCUGCAAUCUGUCUCGUUUUCUGGGUUUCAGCCCACUUCGAAUGGCCAUAACUUCCUCGUCCGAUGUCCGUUUUAUGCAAAUUUUAUAUCGGUUCGAAGAUCUUGAAGUCAGCUUUCAUUUACCACUGGAAUCGUCUUAAAACUCUUAGUACACAAAAAGUUAUGUUCAAUUGAGUGGAGGUAUGUCAAUCUGUCAGACAGAUUCGUGUAGCCUCGGUAAACCCCUGUUUAACCACCCUUGGAGUGCAGAUUUGACUAGGUCUCUUUUGUGUCUUUCAAAGUUCAUUCAAUCGCCCAACUAUUGGGACUGGAAUCACUCAAAAAUAUUAAGAACUCGAUUUAUAGUGAUUUUUAGAAAAUUGAACUGAAAUCUGAAAAUUUGGGCAGCGUGCAGGGCUGCGGGUUUUUCAUCGUUUGUUAUAGCUAAAUGACGCUAUUGGUUAUGGGUCCUUAUGGGUUUUAAAGAUUGGUAAGUUUGUGAUCUUUUGGCGUUGGAAUCAUUGAAAAAUAUUGAAUGUGGAAUUUUUAAUGAAUUGUCGAACACUGACUGCUCUCUGGGAUAGUUUUCGUCCGUUGAUUCUCUUUUGUCUGUUUUGAUUCUCAAUCACUUCUAACAUUUUUUACACAUCGUUAAACCAUCCCUAAGCUUGAUUACUUGAGUUCCUAUGAGUUAAUGAUCAUUCAAAUUCCUUCGAUACCCAUUAAGCAUAAUCUUAGUGUUGUUCUAAAUGGAAUAUGUGAUUUAAGUUUGUUUAGGAGUACCGAAGGCUAAGUGAGACGUUGUGGGAAGUAUAGUUGGCAGACGUGAGCUUUUCUAGUGAUCCGAGUGGUAGCAUAGUGAUCCGUGUCCGCAUGAUUCACUUAUCCUUCAAACUCUAUUGGUGCUCGUUCCACGAGAUCAAAGUAAUCAAUAUUAGUAAGUAGUAUGUUGUAGAGUCGCUAUGGAGUCGGUACGAUAUUGUGUUGUACUAAGAGAGAAAGGCGUGUACUGAUUUGUUAGUCAAUGUUCUAUUAUGAUUGAUCGUUUGGAAUACUUUGAAAUGUGAUUGUCGAUGCGUGUUUGACCUAUAAAUCAGUUUGAUUGACGUGCCUUAUUGUGUCAUGAGAUUAGAGAAGUGUUUGUUGAAUGAGUUGUAUGAUUGUUGGGAUUUGAAUUGUUGCAAUUGAGAAUUUGAAUGAGGAAGUGACUGCAACGCAAGGGGUGGAAAUGCAAACUGCAACGCAAGGGGUGGAAAUGCAGACUGCAACGCAAGGGGUGGAAAUGCAGACUGCAACGCAAGGGGUGGAAAUGCAGAGUGGUUGAGAUUAUGAGAAGUGUCGAAAUGGUUGCGAACCUAUUGUGAGUACGUUUGAUUGAUGUGAUUUUAAUAAUAUUUCUACAUGACAUGUGAACGGCUAGGAAUACUUACAAGUUGUUUGGAACUCUUUGGCCGUAGUCUGUCUUUCGUUGUGAUAAACUCGUGUUUCUCAUGUUCACUUAUCGAAUUCUUUCACUCUUUGUGCAUACUUCAUCGCAUUUUCAUAUAGUUUGAGUAUAGAUUUCUCUACUGGGCUAGUGUAGCUCAACCUACCAUUUUCAGGUACACUACAUGGACACAGUCUUGGAGGGUGUGAAGUGCAUGCUGACAUCGCAGGCUAAAGUUAUUUUCUGAAGAACUUGUCUUUCCCUUGUAAAUCAAACUGUAUUGUACUAUUUUCUCUAAUUUGGAAUACUGUAUCAAUUGACAAAAUUGUGAGAUUUAGAAACAGUAUGUUGUAAUUUGGGGUAUAGUAUGUACUAUUGUGAGGAUUUGUAUUUAAAAUGGUAUUGUUAUUUAUGUUAAAAAUCGAGGGCGUGACAUUA